AGAUGCGAUCACACAAGCACUAUUGCACCGGAUCCCAUCAGAACUCCGAAUUUAAGCUUGCUUAGGCGAGGGCAGUACUUGGGUGGGUGACCCCUUGGGAAGUCCUCGUGUUGCACCUA